CCCUUAGAUGUUCUGGGCCGCGCGCGCGCUACACUGACGGAGGCAGCGAGCAUGUCCUUCGCCGAGAGGUGUGGGGAAUCUUGUGAGUCUCCGUCGUGCUGGGGAUAGAUGGUUGCAAUUGUCGAUCUUGAACGAGGAAUUCCUAGUAAGCGCGAGUCAUCAGCUCGCGCUGAUUACGUCCCUGCCCUUUGUACACACCGCCCGUCGCUACUACCGAUUGGAUGGCUUAGCGAGAAUUUUGGAUCGGAGCCCGGGUGGUCGGCAACGGUCGCCCGGGAGAUCUGAGAAAUCAUUCCAGCUUGGUCAUCUAGAGGAAGUAAAAGUCGUAACA
rnacentral:rRNA from 1 species